rnacentral:rRNA from 1 species
CGGACGGGUGAGUAAUGUCUGGGAAACUGCCUGAUGGAGGGGGAUAACUACUGGAAACGGUAGCUAAUACCGCAUAACGUCGCAAGACCAAAGAGGGGGACCUUAGGGCCUCUUGCCAUCAGAUGAACCCAUAUGGGAUUAGCUUGUAGGUAAGGUAACGGCUUACCUAGGCGACGAUCCCUAGCUGGUCUGAGAGGAUGAUCAGCCACACUGGGACUGAGACACGGCCCAG